rnacentral:lncRNA from 1 species
UGUAUUUCUUAAACAUUUACUUCUCUUCGACCCCAUUUUAACUUCUUUCUUUUCCCCACAUGCAUAUGCCUGUGCUCAUUUGUAGAAGAUACAUUCAUUUGAGGCCAGCCAGAAGAAAAAAGAGACAAAAAUCAAUCCAAUGCUAAAAAAUAAAGAGCCAAGCCGAGGCUUGGAAUGUUUCGUUAUAACCUAUAACAGUUGCGAGAAGUCAUGAACAACAAUGAAGAUGAAUGCCCCCGUUCCUCUCACCCGAAAAAAAAAAAAAAAAAAAAAAAAAAAAAAAAAAAAAAAAAAAAAAAAAAAAAAAAAAAAAAAAAAAACCCGGAAACCCGACCCGACCCGACCCGAAUUUCCUAUGCGAGUUUAAUGUGUUUCGGGUCGGGUCGGGUCGGGUAACAUCAAGACCCG